rnacentral:rRNA from 1 species
CCGGCGACCGGCGCACGGGUGAGUAACACGUAUGCAACCUGGCCGUGACAGAUGGAUAACCGGGAGAAAUCCCGCCUAAUACAACAUAAUGCCGGGAGGGGACAUCCCCUGCCGGCCAAAGGGGGCGACCCCGGUCACGGAUGGGCAUGCGGCGCAUUAGGUAGUUGGUGGGGCAACGGCCCACCAAGCCGACGAUGCGUAGGGGUUCUGAGAGGAAGGUCCCCCACAUUGGAACUGAGACACGGUCCAAACUCCUACGGGAGGCAGCAG